GACGAACGCUGGCGGCGUGCCUAACACAUGCAAGUCGAGCGAGGAGGAGGAAGCUUGCUUCCGAAUCCUAGCGGCGGACGGGUGAGUAACGCGUGAGCAACCUGCCUCAAACAGGGGGAUAACGCAUCGAAAGAUGUGCUAAUACCGCGUAAGACCACAGCACCGCAUGGUGCAGAGGUCAAAGGAGCAAUCCGGUUUGAGAUGGGCUCGCGUCCGAUUAGCUAGUUGGUGAGAUAACAGCCCGACCAAGGCGACGAUCGGUAGCCGACCUGAGAGGGUGAUCGGCCACAUUGGAACUGAGAAACGGUCCAG
rnacentral:rRNA from 1 species